CAUUUUUAUAGAAGACACACAAUACAAAUAAUUUUCAGAUCUUUGCCCUCUCCUCUUCUAAACCUAAUUAAAAAUAUCCUCUCCACAUCAUCCUCCCCUCAUCCGCCGCCAGCCCCUCCACGCCGGAGCUCCUAGCUCCGGUGACCCCAACAACACCCCAACAUCACAACGACAUCACCGCUCUCCUUCUCCCCCUCUUCGUCUUCUUCGCUGCUCCGGCGAGGAGCUUCUAGCUCCGGUGAACCGGAGCAGCCAACAACAAGCCGCCACAACUCCCACCGCGGCCACUGCCUCUCUUUUUCGUCACCGUCAACGACACCCCUAGCAGCCAACAACCAACGCCACCCCCUUUCCUUUUGUUUGUCACUGACACCACUAUUUAUGGCCCAAAACGGAAUUUUUUCUGCUUUAAAGUUUUGGAUCUGACCGGAAAACAUCCAUUAAAAUCGGUUGUUUGCUUGCAAAUGUCUACUGAGCCAAUUUGUGCCACUUUUGUUCUUUUUUGGGUUAAUUUUCUUUGCUUUCUUUUUUUGUUCUCUUUGGCUGCAGGUUGUUUUCUUGCAAAUGUCUACUGAUAUCCUCAUUCCGUCCUGGAUUUUCAAUUGAUUGUUGAUUGUGGGGAGCUAUCAAGACUUCUUUUUCAGGUAUGGGGAAAUACAUCUCAAAGACGAUACUCGGAAGGCAACCGAAUCACUGUUUGUAUUUACUUUCCGCGUUCUUUAAACUUGUACAUAACAUAAACUCGUACUAUAGUGGAAAUAUUAUUUUUUGAAUGUCCGGUGGAGAUAUUUAUUUA